rnacentral:tRNA from 1 species
GCUUCCUGAGCUUAGUGGUCAGAGCACUGGAGCGUAAAGCCAAAGGUCCCGGGUUCGAUUCCCGGCGGGGGUG